AGGGUGAGGGAGGGGGUGGGAUGGGUGGGGGGUAACGGGGGAAACUGGGGAAGUGGGGAACCGAGGGGCAACCAGGGGAAGAUGGGGUGCUGGAGGAGAGCUUGUGGGAGCCAAGGAGCACCUUGGACAUCUGGAGUCUGGCAGGAGUGAUGACGGGUGGAGGGGCUAGCUCGAGGCAGGGCUGGUGGGGCCUGAGGCCAGUGAGGAGUGUGGAGUAGGCGCCCAGGCAUCGUGCAGACAGGGCGACAUCAGCUGGGGACGAUGGGCCUGAGCUAGGGCUGGAAAGAAGGGGGAGCCAGGCAUUCAUCCCGGUCACUUUUGGUUACAGGACGUGGCAGCUGGUUGGACGAGGGGAGCUGGUGGGCAGGGUUUGAUCCCAGGGCCUGGGCAACGGAGGUGUAGCUGGCAGCAGCGGGCAGGUGAGGACCCCAUCUGCCGGGCAGGUGAGUCCCUUCCCUCCCCAGGCCUCGCUUCCCCAGCCUUCUGAAAGAAGGAGGUUUAGGGGAUCGAGGGCUGGCGGGGAGAAGCAGACACCCUCCCAGCAGAGGGGCAGGAUGGGGGCAGGAGAGUUAGCAAAGGUGACAUCUUCUCGGGGGGAGCCGAGACUGCGCAAGGCUGGGGGGUUAUGGGCCCGUUCCAGGCAGAAAGAGCAAGAGGGCAGGGAGGGAGCACAGGGGUGGCCAGCGUAGGGUCCAGCACGUGGGGUGGUACCCCAGGCCUGGGUCAGACAGGGACAUGGCAGGGGACACAGGACAGAGGGGUCCCCAGCUGCCACCUCACCCACCGCAAUUCAUUUAGUAGCAGGCACAGGGGCAGCUCCGGCACGGCUUUCUCAGGCCUAUGCCGGAGCCUCGAGGGCUGGAGAGCGGGAAGACAGGCAGUGCUCGGGGAGUUGCAGCAGGACGUCACCAGGAGGGCGAAGCGGCCACGGGAGGGGGGCCCCGGGACAUUGCGCAGCAAGGAGGCUGCAGGGGCUCGGCCUGCGGGCGCCGGUCCCACGAGGCACUGCGGCCCAGGGUCUGGUGCGGAGAGGGCCCACAGUGGACUUGGUGACGCUGUAUGCCCUCACCGCUCAGCCCCUGGGGCUGGCUUGGCAGACAGUACAGCAUCCAGGGGAGUCAAGGGCAUGGGGCGAGACCAGACUAGGCGAGGCGGGCGGGGCGGAGUGAAUGAGCUCUCAGGAGGGAGGAUGGUGCAGGCAGGGGUGAGGAGCGCAGCGGGCGGCGAGCGGGAGGCACUGGCCUCCAGAGCCCGUGGCCAAGGCGGGCCUCGCGGGCGGCGACGGAGCCGGGAUCGGUGCCUCAGCGUUCGGGCUGGAGACGAGGGUCUCCAGCUGGGGUGGACGUGCCCACCAGCUGCCGAAGGCCAAGACGCCAGGUCCGGUGGACGUGACAAGCAGGACAUGACAUGGUCCGGUGUGACGGCGAGGACAGAGGAGGCGCGUCCGGCCUUCCUGAACACCUUAGGCUGGUGGGGCUGCGGCAAGAAGCGGGUCUGUUUCUUUACUUCCUCCACGGAGUCGGCACACUAUGGCUGCCCUCUGGGCUCCCAGAACCCACAACAUGAAAGGUGAAGCUAGAGGAACCAGACCUCAUCAGCCCAACAUCAAAGACACCAUCGGAACAGCAGCGCCCGCAGCACCCACCCCGCACCGGCGACUCCAUCUUCAUGGCCACCCCCUGCGGCGGACGGUUGACCACCAGCCACCACAUCAUCCCAGAGCUGAGCUCCUCCAGCGGGAUGACGCCGUCCCCACCACCUCCCUCUUCUUCUUUUUCAUCCUUCUGUCUCUUUGUUUCUGAGCUUUCCUGUCUUUCCUUUUUUCUGAGAGAUUCAAAGCCUCCACGACUCUGUUUCCCCCGUCCCUUCUGAAUUUAAUUUGCACUAAGUCAUUUGCACUGGUUGGAGUUGUGGAGACGGCCUUGAGUCUCAGUACGAGUGUGCGUGAGUGUGAGCCACCUUGGCAAGUGCCUGUGCAGGGCCCGGCCGCCCUCCAUCUGGGCCGGGUGACUGGGCGCCGGCUGUGUGCCCGAGGCCUCACCCUGCCCUCGCCUAGUCUGGAAGCUCCGACCGACAUCACGGAGCAGCCUUCAAGCAUUCCAUUACGCCCCAUCUCGCUCUGUGCCCCUCCCCACCAGGGCUUCAGCAGGAGCCCUGGACUCAUCAUCAAUAAACACUGUUACAGCAA
rnacentral:lncRNA from 1 species